UACGUAGGUGGCAAGCGUUGUUCGGAAUUAUUGGGCGUAAAGGGCGCGUAGGCGGUUCUGUAAGUCGGUUGUGAAAGCCCGGGGCUCAACCCCGGAGGGUCGACUGAUACUGCAGGACUAGAGUACGGAAGAGGUAGCUGGAAUUCCCGGUGUAGCGGUGAAAUGCGUAGAUAUCUGGAGGAACACCGGUGGCGAAGGCGGCAUCCUGGACCGACACUGACGCUGAGGAGCGAAAGCCAGGGGAGCAAACGGG
rnacentral:rRNA from 1 species